CAGUAAAUGAAAUAAGAAGUACAAAAUAGGAAGUAAUUCAGUGUGUCAAAAGAUGAAUGUCUCUUCUUUCUUGUUUUGAUGCCAACAUAUUCAUCAGCCAAAUGUUUGAAGUCGAGGUGUGAUCUACAUUGUAAUGGAUCACUGGCUCUGAGGGACUUAGGAUGAACGCUGGCAAAACCAACGGACAAUUUCUGAGUGGGUUGUGACCAACAAAGAAUUUGAGGAACACAAACAAAUGGAAGCACACGUCUGUUAAGAAAAAGGAACAGUUACUCCAGUUAAUCUUUAAUUAACUUAUAUGGCUUUAAAAGAUCUUGACUGAGUACUUACUAGAACAAUACCUAAAGGAGCUAAUGUCUCUGGUCCCAGAAAAUUCAAAGUGACGGUAAAGAAAAAUUAUUGUUAGUGCAGAGAUUUAUGUGACAGAUGGAAAAUAUUUCCCUAAUAUAGGUAGACUAGCAGAUUUAAGUUGAGUCAUGCAGCAACAUAUUUGAAGUCUGCUUUCCUAUUGUAUUAC
rnacentral:lncRNA from 1 species